rnacentral:tRNA from 1 species
AGAGAAAUAGCUCAGUGGUAGAGUGCAUGCUUAGCAUACCCAAGGUCCUGGGUUCAAUCCCCAGUACCUCCA